UGGCGCAGUGGUAGCGUUCUCGCCUGCCACGCGUGUGUUUUGGGUUCAAUUCCCAC
rnacentral:tRNA from 1 species